GGGCAUGCAUGUCUAGUACGGCGAGUGAGCGGCAACAGCUCAAUUUGAAAUCUGGCUCUUUUAGAGUCCGAGUUGUAAUUUGCAGAGGGCGCUUUGGCUUUGGCAGCGGUCCAAGUUCCUUGGAACAGGACGUCACAGAGGGUGAGAAUCCCGUACGUGGUCGCUAGCUAUUGCCGUGUAAAGCCCCUUCGACGAGUCGAGUUGUUUGGGAAUGCAGCUCUAAAUGGGAGGUAAAUUUCUUCUAAAGCUAAAUAUUGGCCAGAGACCGAUAGCGCACAAGUAGAGUGAUCGAAAGAUGAAAAGCACUUUGGAAAGAGAGUCAAACAGCACGUGAAAUUGUUGAAAGGGAAGCGCUUGCAGCCAGACUUGCUUGCAGUUGCUCAUCCGGGCUUUUGCCCGGUGCACUCUUCUGCAGGCAGGCCAGCAUCAGUUUGGGCGGUGGGAUAAAGGUCUCUGACACGUUCCUCUCUUCGGGGAGGCCAUAUAGGGGAGACGUCAUACCACCAGCCUGGACUGAGGUCCGCGCAUCUGCUAGGAUGCUGGCGUAAUGGCUGUAAGCGGCCCGUCUGA
rnacentral:rRNA from 1 species